AGGUGACCACUGAGGCUUCAUCUAAUGUUGCAAGGGCCUUUACAGAAGAGACGACCACUGAAAGUUUCAGAUUCAGGGCUAAGGAAAAGAAAGUAAAAGAAAGCGUAACUUCAUCAACUGACAGCACUUAAUUCUA